CAUUAGCAAUUGCAAUCAAUUCAAGAGAGGAAAUUAGCCUCAGUGGGAAGUCUAUAAAUUGUAGCUUGUACUGAAGCAAAAUGAUGCACAGACAAAAACGUCUAUUUUCCUCUAUAAUUAAAGAUCUAGCAUCUCUGUGAUCGAUCCAUGGCUUUGCUCAAGUUUCUUUUUGUUUUGACUACUCUUCUUAUGGCAUUCACUGGUUAGUACCAAUCUCUCCCUAGCUCUCUUUAUAUUGUAAUAUAGCGGUGUUAAUUUGCAUAAAUCAAUAUCUAUACAAAUUGUUCGCAUACAUAUCUUAAAAUUCAUAAUGUUACAGCUCAGCUGUCAUGGCUCUCAAAGACACAAGUGAUUGCCACAAGAGAUGUGAAUCAUGAUUCAGAAGUGUUAGAAGGCAUGCUACUCCUACCUUCUGCUAAGCUGAUGACUUGCGGGCGCAGUUGUACAUACAGCGAUGAAUGCAGUGAUGGUUGGGCAUGCAAUCUUUGUAUUUUUAUCACAAGAGAAUGGAAAGCUUGCAGCGCAUUUUGACAAGCUUAUGUGAAGGCCGUUUACUGGUUUCCGAACAACUCUACGAUGUGCAAGUUCUUAUUAUUUGUCUGAGUCUCUCUGUGUGCUAGCUUCAGUUAAUUCCAUGUUUUAUCCAGCAGUGUGUUAAUGUCAAGUGAAUGAAUAACUAUCCAUUGAGAAAUCAUAAUGGAUGUACAAUUGCAUGCAAUGCAUGUAGUCAUUGCUCAACUUAAAAGUGUAUCACAUAUGUUAUUUGAAUCGAAC
rnacentral:lncRNA from 1 species